rnacentral:rRNA from 1 species
GAUGAACGCUGGCGGCGUGCCUAAUACAUGCAAGUCGAGCGAAUGGAUUAAGAGCUUGCUCUUAUGAAGUUAGCGGCGGACGGGUGAGUAACACGUGGGUAACCUGCCCAUAAGACUGGGAUAACUCCGGGAAACCGGGUCUAAUACCGGAUAACAUUUUGAACCGCAUGGUUCGAAAUUGAAAGGCGGCUUCGGCUGUCACUUAUGGAUGGACCCCGGUCGCAUUAGCUAGUUGGUGAGGUAACGGCUCACCAAGGCAACGAUGCGUAGCCGACCUGAGAGGGUGAUCGGCCACACUGGGACUGAGACACGGCCCAGACUCCUACGGGAGGCAGCAGUAGGGAAUCUUCCGCAAUGGACGAAAGUCUGACGGAGCAACGCCACGUGAGUGAUGAAGGCUUUCGGGUCGUAAAACUCUGUUGUUAGGGAAGAACAAGUGCUAGUUGAAUAAGCUGGCACCUUGACGGUACCUAACCAGAAAGCCACGGCUAACUACGUGCCAGCCGCCGCCGUAA